UACGGAGGGGGCAAGCGUUGUUCGGAUUUACUGGGCGUAAAGGGUGUGUAGGCGGCUGGAUAAGUCUGGCGUGAAAUCUUCACCGCUUAACGGGAAGGGGUCGCUGGAAACUGUUCAGCUUGAGUAUGGUAGAGGCAAGCGGAAUUCCCAGUGUAGAGGUGAAAUUCGUAGAUAUUGGGAAGAACACCGGUGGCGAAGGCGGCGAGCUGGUCCAUUACUGACGCUGAGGCGCGACAGCGUGGGGAGCAAACAGG
rnacentral:rRNA from 1 species